UGGAUUGACAGCGGUUCCAGACCCACCUGCCAAUGAAAAUGCAACCAAGCUCGCUGAUGUGUCCAGCAACAACAGGCCAAAAGCCAACAGUUCUCCUAAUAACCACAAGGGACACCAUUGAGGCCACCUUGUGUUACUGAGGCUGAAGUGCCUGAGUAACCAAAUAAAGGGUUAAAAGUCUAAAAAUAUAUCUUUUUUUUUUUAAAUUUACAGACAGGACUGAGGUUGUUGGGAAUGUUUGACAUGGUAAAAAAAAAUAGAUGUAUCGAUAUACUGCUAAAUAACUUAAUUGUGCUUUUCUGAUGGGUCAACAUUAUGGACCUUAAUGUGCUAAAUAAGACUUUUUUUUAAAGCUGACAGCAAACAUAAAUGCCAUGAUGUUUAAAAAGUGGCAUCUUAAGAGUUUGAGCUGAACAUUACUAAAGGUUGUAAAAAUAUCUGAAGCAAUUAGAGUAGAAAAUAAUAUCGAUAAGUCAUCAUUUUUUAGCACCGUUGUUAAUUGGUCCACUAACUUAAGAUGGUUUAAGAUGGCAUUUAUGACUUGUUGAGUGUCAUAAUAACUUCAGAACAGUUGUUGUAUGGGUAAAAUAUAUAUAUUUUUUAAAUAAGGUCAUGUGUUUAGUGGAGGAAAAUAUUGCUCACAACCUAUGCAGUGAACAAUCCUGUUGUUUCAAACCUUGUUGCUGCGUCAAUAUGAACCCCAUCGAUAACAUUAUUAGCAUGGCUUAGCAAAAUAAACAGAUGCAACGCAGGAGCCGCUAGUGUUGUUCUGUUUGGAAUUCCGGAGCAUCCCCACAUUAUGUCUCAGGUUUCUUAUUACAAUUACAAACACAGUCAUCUGUUUUUUCUUCACACACAAAAAAGAGUGAGAUUAUUGACUCAUGGUUUGAGGCACAGUUGUGUUUCAGGGCACAAUCAGGUCGCAAGACCUCUUACAGGUGUAUUCAGGUUGAAUGCAAAGAGAAUUUUUGGCAACAGAGUUAAAUAUAACAACAAUGAGAUCACACAAAAGGUAAAUUCACCCUGUGAGGGCAUGUUGAGGCAAUACAUCACAUCUGCACAAAUUAGCUUAAGUGAAUACUUGGUGCUUCGCCAGCUGACGUCUUUUCAGUCACUACACUGGCUGUUUGUAGUGAGUUAACACUGACUCCGCAGAUGAUCUAGAGGUCAAACUUGAGGGUUUGAUUAGAUUUGCACUUUGAUUCUGUUCUUAUGAGAAGUUAUUGGAAUUUAUGGCAGAUUUUCAAACUUAUCUUUAUCAGAGUUAGGCCUACAAGUGUGAAAGAUGUUUCAAGUUGUCAUCAGUGUUAUGUGUUUCUGAGCUCUUUCGCAACCCUGCCAAAACUUGCUGUUCCUCUGUCGAUGUUUUUGUUGUCAGUCAUGACCCUUCACCUAAGACUCAACAGGUCUGUUAUGUAGCUUGGAGCCAGACUUAAAAAGUGAUCAGUAAAAUCUUAAAAUCAGUUCUAAAACCAACAGGAAGCCAGCAUAGGAAGGCUAAAUCAGGUGAUGUGAUCUCAUGCCUUAGAUUCAGUAAGAAGCAGUACUGCUUCAGUCCAGACAUCUUUGUGGUAUAUGUGUUUGUUGUUUAUGCUUGUUGAAAGAGAGUUGAGAAGCUGGAGGCAUAAAUAACUUUUUGAAGAUCUGAGUCUGAAAGAAUGGAUUUCAUUUUGGCAAGUAUGACAUGACACUUUUGACGUGUGUUUCAACAUAAUUCAGAACCAAACCCUACUCCUACAUUUCUUGCAGUUGGCUUUAUUUUGGUAGAAAGGGCACUGAGGUCACUGUCAAUAGAAGAGUAGAGUUUUGUGGACUCAACAUUUUUAUUUCUUAUUUUGAAUUGUUGACUUGAAGAAAAUCUUGUACCGUCCAACAAUUAAUGUCAGUGAGAUAUCUCUGAAUAGGGCUAGGUUUGUAUAUACAAUAAUAUAUUUGUGUGUUGUCUGUGUAGCAUUAAAAGGAGACAUUGGAUGCUGAAUUAUUUGGCCAAUUGACAUGUAAGUAGGAAAUAAAGAAGGACCUAAACUUAAAACUUCAACAAAUUGCAUUAUCAAUUAUAUCAAAAGCUGCGUAUGUGUAAAAGAAUUAAAAUUCUGCCCACCAUGUACAGCUGGAAAAAGGCCAUUUGUUACCUUCAUGAGGGCUGUCUCUUAGCUGUGAAAAGCUGUAACACCAGUGUGAAAUUUGAAAUAAGUGUUGUUGUUGUGUAUUUUGUCUCUGAUGUCUUAGUGUGAUGAAAAUUAUAUUUUUGGCGAUGCUCCUCAGCUCCAAGAACGGCAAUGGUGUGUCAUCUUCAUUUUCAUUAUACAGUACCUCUGCUCCUGUUUGCUUCAUUGAAAACACUUUGCAUUUUCCUAACCAGAUUUUGCAUCUGUUCGUGACAUGAUACAGUACUGCUAAGGUGCUUUCAGCUCAGCUGUGGUCCUCUGAUGGAGUCCCAGACAGGCAGUAUGACCAGAGAGGCUCCUCUGGGAAUCUCCCUCACAUUGCUGCACUCUGCUGCACACUGCAGCAGCCGCCUUCAUGAAUAACAAGUAGCUAUCCAACCC